rnacentral:rRNA from 1 species
UACGUAGGGUGCAAGCGUUGUCCGGAAUUAUUGGGCGUAAAGAGCGCGCAGGCGGUCGUUCAAGUCGCGUGUGAAAGCCCCCGGCUCAACUGGGGAGGGUCACUCGAUACUGAUCGACUCGAAGGCAGGAGAGGGUAGUGGAAUUCCCGGUGUAGUGGUGAAAUGCGUAGAUAUCUGGAGGAACACCGGUGGCGAAGGCGGCAUCCUGGACCAACACUGACGCUGAGGAGCGAAAGCCAGGGGAGCAAACGGG